rnacentral:lncRNA from 10 species
CGCACAUAGAAGCACAUGUGUACACAUAGAUAGGUGCACAUGCAUGUGUACACAUACAUCACUGUCAUAGCUCUUCAUGCAGAAUACUUUGCUAUUCAGCCCCAUCAACACAUACUUUUUGAAAAUAUGCUCAGCAGAGGGGUACAAGCAUACAGAGGACUCAGACCCCAGUCUCAACUUCUUCACAGUCUGAUGGGGACAG